UGUAGUCUCAACGAUGAUGCAUACAUGUCCACUAUGGGUGUUGGGUCCAACAAUUCGCAUUGGUCUCAAACCAAUGACAUCCAUUUCGAAGACCAUGAGUUUGAGGUGGACGAGGAGGGUGAGGGAAUUGUCGAGGCGCCGAAAGGAAGAGCGGGCAAUUACUCAACCAACGAUGACAAGUUACUAUGCCAUACUUAUUUGCAAGUGUCGAGGGAUCCAUCCAUUGGAGGUGAUCAAAGUAGAGACGCGUAUUGGGGGCGAAUGAAAGAACACUUUGAUGCUCACAACUUGAGUGGAAUUGACCGCUCCGAGAGAUCACUUCGGUCCCGAUGGUCGACAAUCAACUCGGAUUGUCAAAAGUGGGCGGCCGUACAAAAGGCAGUUGACAAGAUUAACCCAAGUGGCACAAAUGAGGAUGAUGGAGUAAGUGGCAUCUCAUAUAUGUUCAUCAUACUUGUUUUUGGUGACCGAAGUGCUAACUUGUUUUGUUUUUCUUGUAGAACAACAUUGCACAAAACUUGUUCAAAGAAGAGACAAGGACAACCAAGAAGGGGAAGAUCAAGAAAGGCAGGGUCUUUACCUUGCCUCAUUGCUAUGAAGUGUUAA
rnacentral:rRNA from 1 species